GCCUGCAGCCGGAGCCUGGGCGCAGCCGCGCGGGGCAAGAGGGCAGCACGCCCUGGACUUCUCUGCGCUGAAGGCAGAGCUGGGGCUGGUCAGCAGGAAAACAAGAAAAUGGACUCCCUUCUCCUGGAGACAUGAAUGCCAGCCACUAGCCAAGGGGCUUCUGCCGUGGCCCCUCGUUCUCCAGCUCACGACUCCAGCUCCCCUUUGGAACCCGUUCCAACCAGGCUCUCAUCCCGACCGUUCAUUCCACGGAGCCUGCUCUUGACCAGGAUUACCUGUGACUCCAAGAUGCUAAAUCCAAUCAUUAAUACUGUCUUUGUCUGACUUGACCUAUCACAGUAGAUUGCCCCAUCCUCCUUGAAGCCUUUUCUCCUGUUGUACUUGUUACUCCUUAGUCUCCCUGGCUGAGCGACUGAAUGGGCCAGUCCUUGGAUAGCUUCUCUGUUGACAGACCCCCUUGGUGAUCUCAUCCUGAAGAGCUACCUGCUGAGCACUCAAAUAUCUUCAUUUCCAGCCUGGACCUCUCCGCUGAACUCAAUACUCAGAUAUCUGCCUGCCUACAGGCCUCUCCACUUGAAUAUUGACAAGGCCUUUCAUACUGAACAUGUCUGAAACGGCGUUCCUUGUCUUCCCCCAAACAUGCUCCCCCAGCGGGCUUCUGCAGCUCAGUAAAGGCAAGUCCAUCCUCCGGUUUGCUCAGGCCAACAUCUCAGAGUCCUCCUCGAUUCUGUUAUUUCAUACCCGACUUCCAAUCCUUCAGCGAAUCCUGUUGGCUCUACUUUUGAGAAUCUGACCAUAGCUUAGUACCGCAUUGUUACCUCUCAAAUCAAAGCCACUGUCACCUCUUGCCAGGAUUUCUGCCUAUGUUCUACCUAUGCCCCCAAUUUAUUGUCAACACAGCAUCCAGAUCACUUGUUGAAAAGUGAGUCACAUCAUGUCACUUCUCUGUGUAAAACUUCCCAGUGGCUCCCAUCUGAGUCAAAGCUCAAGUUCAUACAGGGCCCUCUUUCAAUUCUGCACACACUCUGGAACCUCUCACUAGCUCUCUGAUUCUCUGUCUGUCUUCCCCUUCACCCGCUCAACUCGGGCCACACCACCCUCCCCACGGAUCUUUACCUGUCAGGCAGGCUCUCACCUCCGAGCCUUUGCACAUGCUGUUUCCUCCACCUGGAAGGGCUCUUUCCCAUUCAUUCUCAGGGCGUGUCCUCCUUUCUUUCAGUCUUUAUUCAUAGCUCACUUCUCAGCUGCCUGGGCUUCCCUGGCCACACUGUUUAGAUUGUUGGCACUUCCUGCUCCAACACUCCCUCCCCCUCUCCUGCUUUAAUUUUCCUCCAGAGCACUUACCUCUUCUGACUACCAUAUAUUAUUUAUUUAUUUGGUUGUUGGUUUCUCCCAGUAGACUGCAAGCUCCACGAGGGCAGGGGGUUUUAUAGAAGGUGCACAAUAGAUAUCUUGACCAUUCAUACAUGGCUAUAUGAAUAAAAGUGUGUGGAAGGACCACUUACAGUUUAUACAAGGCCUGGACAAGAUGGAAAAAGCAGGGGGGUUCCUGCCAGCAUGGGACAUUAGUAGGCUACUGAGAAAGAAAUGCCCCAAGUAGAGAAUAUGCUGCGUGGGAAUCAUGGGGCCUGUCUCUGCCCUGGACCAGCAUGCAGCCAACUCAUACCUUAGUGGCUUCGGAAGAACUCGCCACAGACGAGCACGCACCACUCGUCUGAUAGCUUUGGACUCCGCCUGGACGGUGGCAAUCUAGAGCAGUCUUUUUACCAGUAUGGGACUCAGGCCAGUGAUGUGCUCUCCCUAAGCCUCAGCUUCCUACCUGGAAAAGGGCAUGACAGCCCGGCCCGUGUGGCUCAGUGGUUGAAAGUCAACCCAUGCACCAAGAGGUUGCUGGUUCGAUUCCUGUUCAGGGCACAUGCCCAGGUUGUGG